CGGAUCGUAAAACUCUGUUGUUAGGGAAGAACAAGUAUCGGAGUAACUGCCGGUACCUUGACGGUACCUAACCAGAAAGCCACGGCUAACUACGUGCCAGCAGCCGCGGUAAUACGUAGGUGGCAAGCGUUGUCCGGAAUUAUUGGGCGUAAAGCGCGCGCAGGUGGUUCCUUAAGUCUGAUGUGAAAGCCCACGGCUCAACCGUGGAGGGUCAUUGGAAACUGGGGAACUUGAGUGCAGAAGAGGAAAGUGGAAUUCCAAGUGUAGCGGUGAAAUGCGUAGAGAUUUGGAGGAACACCAGUGGCGAAGGCGACUUUCUGGUCUGUAACUGACACUGAGGCGCGAAAGCGUGGGGAGCGAACAGGAUUAGAUACCCUGGUAGUCCACGCCGUAAACGAUGAGUGCUAAGUGUUAGAGGGUUUCCGCCCUUUAGUGCUGCAGCAAACGCAUUAAGCACUCCGCCUGGGGAGUACGACCGCAAGGUUGAAACUCAAAGGAAUUGACGGGGGCCCGCACAAGCGGUGGAGCAUGUGGUUUAAUUCGAAGCAACGCGAAGAACCUUACCAGGUCUUGACAUCCUCUGACAAUCCUAGAGAUAGGACGUUCCCCUUCGGGGGACAGAGUGACAGGUGGUGCAUGGUUGUCGUCAGCUCGUGUCGUGAGAUGUUGGGUUAAGUCCCGCAACGAGCGCAACCCUUGAUCUUAGUUGCCAGCAUUCAGUUGGGCACUCUAAGGUGACUGCCGGUGACAAACCGGAGGAAGGUGGGGAUGACGUCAAAUCAUCAUGCCCCUUAUGACCUGGGCUACACACGUGCUACAAUGGAUGGUACAAAGGGCUGCAAGACCGCGAGGUUUAGCCAAUCCCAUAAAACCAUUCUCAGUUCGGAUUGCAGGCUGCAACUCGCCUGCAUGAAGCCGGAAUCGCUAGUAAUCGCGGAUCAGCAUGCCGCGGUGAAUACGUUCCCGGGCCUUGUACACACCGCCCGUCACACCACGAGAGUUUGUAACACCCGAAGUCGGUGGGGUAACCUUUGGAGCCAGCCGCC
rnacentral:rRNA from 1 species